CAGUGUCAGCGGUGGAUGUUGGUGUAUGGCAGCAGAGGCUGAACCUUCCCACCAAUAUUCCAUUACAUUUUAUUGCUGUACAACAGAUGGCAACAGAGCAGUGGUCUGACAAAAUGGAGUCUGACAUCGAAGGGCGAAUGAAGAAAAGUGGGACAACUUGCCUGAUGGUUGGAAGACUUGGAGCCCUUUUAAACAUCUUCCUCUGGAAACAGCUGCCCCCACUCUGCCAGCUCUGUGUCCUCUUGCUCUGCAGUUCCAGGUGAGAUCACCAGCUCUGAACUCCAGCACACUGGGCUGACGGGAAAGCCGAAAGGCUUUCCUGGGGUUUCUGGCUCACGACCUCUAACUUUUUGGGAUGAUGCCAAAGUACAGUUCUUUCUGUGCUUGUUGGCUCAGCAGUCCUAACAGACUGAACUAAAGCACAGGUCUCUAAAGGACAAUUAUUCAUUAAUGCAGUGAGCAUACAGCCUUAUAACAACCAGAGCAAAUACAGCACUUUGGGGUCAGAUUCUGCUUUUGGAUAAACAUGAAGUGAAUAUCUAAAUGACACGCAUGGUUAUUUUUGAGUUAUGCAUCAAAAAGCAC
ensembl:lncRNA